GACGAACGCUGGCGGCGUGCUUAACACAUGCAAGUCGAACGAUGAAGCCGGAGCUUGCUCUGGUGAAUUAGUGGCGAACGGGUGAGUAACACGUGAGUAACCUGCCCUUGACUCUGGGAUAACUGCGGGAAACUGUAGCUAAUACCGGAUACGACCCUCGGAGGCAUCUCCUGGGGGUGGAAAGAAUUUCGGUCAAGGAUGGACUCGCGGCCUAUCAGCUAGUUGGUGAGGUAACGGCUCACCAAGGCGACGACGGGUAGCCGGCCUGAGAGGGUGACCGGCCACACUGGGACUGAGACACGGCCCAGACUCCUACGGGAGGCAGCAGUGGGGAAUAUUGCACAAUGGGCGCAAGCCUGAUGCAGCAACGCCGCGUGAGGGAUGACGGCCUUCGGGUUGUAAACCUCUUUUAGCAGGGAAGAAGCGAAAGUGACGGUACCUGCAGAGGAAGCACCGGCUAACUACGUGCCAGCCGCCGCCGUAA
rnacentral:rRNA from 1 species